GCCGAUAGGGUCCUGGAUUACCUUCCAACUAAAAUCCAGGGCCAUUGUUGAUGGCCAUUGAGACAAGUCCAGUGCACUCGCUCUACUUUGAUGUGUCUGCAUCAUAGUUGCAUCUCCUGAGUUUAGAAUCGAAAAACCAAAUCUGUCGCAGAUAUCUCGGAUGAUGGGAGUGCGAAUGUCAUCCUUAUCGCACCCCCAGUCGAGUCUAUCCCAGCGGUGCAAAAUAUGAGAACCCCACUCAAAUCAUUCAAUUUUGAAGCUCUUCUCUCUACCUCUAUGAUACAAACUACCUCUGCGGUCCAUAAGCUGCUAUGUCGUGUGAUUGUUUGUUACCUCUCCUCCUGCCUUGAUUGUUUUGCUCAUGUUCACUGUCUACUCGUAAGGACUAAAUCAUCAUGUCUAAGCGUUCAAAGCAAACAGAGAAUUUCUACAAAAAGCAAAAUCGAUUGUUGGAGGAAGCUGGAAGAAGUGUCGAUGAAUUAAACAUCACGCUAGAAACUGUUUCGACUUCUGUUUGGCCGGAUUUAGGAGUGGAAGUUUUACAACAAGAUCUUGAAUCGCUUUUUACAAGAUAUUGUUCUGUACAUCAAAAUCCAGUAACAUCUUCCGAUACUACUGACCAGAACAAUGAAGGAAUCGAGGAGAUGGAUGAUCCGGUUAAAGAAAUUGUUGAUGCCAAGGACCCGUACUCAUUUAUGCAAAAUUUGAGUUUGAAAGAUACGCUUGUGCAUCUAGUGAUACAGGGUCGUGCUUCCCGUUUCCUAACUGAAGGUUUUCUUGCCAUCUUAAGGAAAUAUUUCAAAGCCAAAGUUCCUAAAACAAAACGAACGCUUCUUAAAACACCAACGCAGAUUGGAUCUGGAAUUAUGGUAUCAUGGCAUCAAAAAAGUUCUUGUAACAUACUUUGAAAACGUUGUUCCAGAAGUAGACGCAUUUACGGUGGAUGUCUCUAUUGAUGGACUUCCACUCUUUAAAAGUUCCCCGAAGCAGCUUUGGCCAAUUCAAAUAAGAAUUGUUGAACUUUUAAAGCACCCAGCAAUGAUUGUUGGAACGUUUGGAGGAUCGAAAAAACCGGGUAGCUUGGAGGAAUUUUUAAGACCUCUAGUUGAGGAAAUAAAUGAUCUUCAGCGAAGAGGUUUGAAGUUUGGAGAUAAGCAGAUCUCCUUUUCACUUCGUGCCUUUAUUGCCGAUUCGCC